rnacentral:rRNA from 1 species
CCUACGGGGGGCAGCAGUGAGGAAUAUUGGUCAAUGGGCGCGAGCCUGAACCAGCCAAGUAGCGUGCAGGAUGACUGCCCUACGGGUUGUAAACUUCUUUUAUAAAGGAAUAAAGUGAGGCACGUGUGCCUUUUUGUAUGUACUUCAUGAAUAAGGAUCGGCUAAAUCUGUGCCAGCAGCCGCGGUAAUACGGAGGAUCCGAGCGUUAUCCGGAGUUAUUGGGUUUAAAGGGAGCGUAGGUGGGUUGUUAAGUCAGUUGUGAAUGUUUGCGGAUCAACCGUAAAAUUGCAAGUGAUACUGGCAGUCUUGAGUACAGUUGGGGUAGGCGGAAUUCGUGGUGUAGCGGUGAAAUGCUUAGAUAUCACGAAGAACUCCGAUUGCGAAGGCAGGUUACUGGGCUGCCACUGACAUUGAGGCUCGAAAGUGUGGGUAUCAAACAGGAUUAGAUACCCCAGUAGUC